GAUUGUCUUCGAGGGUUGGCGGGGGAAAGACUAAGAAAUAUGUAUAUAAGUAUCUUCAUUUUAAGAAGCUAAAUUGAUAUUUUUUUUCACGGAAAUUACAUGUAAAUGAAGUUUUCUCUCUAACAGUGGCAGAUAGAACUGAAUUUGCGAAGGAAAGAAGAGGCGAUGAAUGAGGCCAAAAAACGGAAAGAUAAAGACUUAGAAGAGAAAAAACACUUUGAAGAAAUUAUGAAGAGAAGAGAGGAGAAACUGCAUAAGCAAACCAAACCUUAUGAGCUUCCUCAGAUGACUGAAGCAAUUUCUUUAGAAAAGAAAAUGUCUCACCAAAAAAAGGAGUUCACAUUGCCAGAAAUUAAUAACAGACCAAGAGAGCUUCAUAUUAGGAAUAUUUGUUAUAAUUAAUGUGAGGUCAUUGGGUGGAAAGGAGCUGUCAUCCUAGUGCAAGCUGUUUAAUAGUCAUAUUUUAGUCCUACAUUGGUAGUCAACUUUUAGUCAGUUGAAUGAAGUGAUUUCACCAGUUAAAAAUUUCCAAUUAUAUAACUAUUGCUUUUCUCAGUUGAUGCUUGUCUUGUGAUUGUAUAGCAUUCUUGAUCAGUCAUUCCCAGAAUGUUGAGUUUCAUUGGACUACAAGAUGGAAAUGAAUUCCAAAUUAAUGAAUCACUGAAUAAGAGUUAUUUCUUGAAAAUAGAGUGAGCAUUUGAUUAUACUCCUAUAAUCACUAUUAUUCAAAUAAAUGAAGUUGUGGCAUCUAUUUGCAUUUGC
rnacentral:lncRNA from 1 species